AAACGGAACCCUUAUGGAUUCGUCAUGUCGUCUGUCUGUCUGUCUGUCUGUCCGUCCGUAUAUCACAGCCACUUUUUUCCGAAACUAUAAGAACUAUACUGUUGAAACUUGGUAAGUAGAUGUAUUCUGUGAACCGCAUUAAGAUUUUCACACAAAAAUAGAAAAAAAAAAACAAUAAAUUUUGGGGGUUCCCCAUACUUAGAACCGAAACUCAAUUUUUUUUCCAUCAAAUCCAUACGUGUUGGGUAUAUAUGGAUAGGUCUUCAAAAAUGAUAUUGAGGUUUCUAAUAUAUUUUUUUUCUAAACUGAAUAGUUUGCGCCAGAGACUUCCAAAGUGGUAAAAUGUGUCCCCCCCCCCUGUAACUUCUAAAAUAAGAGAAAGAUAAAACUAAAAAAAUUAUAUGAUGUACAUGACCAUGCAAACUUCCACCGAAAAUUGGUUUGAACGAGAUCUAGUAAGUAGUUUUUUUUUAAUACGUCAUAAA